rnacentral:rRNA from 1 species
UGGCGGCGUGGAUUAGGCAUGCAAGUCGAGCGAGGAAACAUGUAGCAAUAUGUGUUAUUCGAGCGGCGUAAGGGGCAGUAAUACCUGGGAACGUACCCUGAGGUCGGGGAUAGCUGCUAAAAAUGGCGAGUAAUACCCGAUGAUCUUGAGAAAGCAAAGGCUUGCCGCCUUCGGAGCGGCCCAGGCGAUAUUAGCUAGUUGGUGAGGUAACGGCUUACCAAGGCAAAGAUGUCUAGCGGGUGUGAGAGCACGACCCGCGCCACUGGCACUGAGACACUGGCCAGACACCUACGGGUGGCUGCAGUCGAGAAUCUUCGGCAAUGAGCGCAAGCUUGACCGAGCAACGCCGCGUGCGGGAUGAAGGNCUUCGGGUCGUAAACCGC